AGCAGUAGGGAAUAUUGGUCAAUGGAUGCAAGUCUGAACCAGCCAUGCCGCGUGCAGGAAGACGGCCUUCUGGGUUGUAAACUGCUUUUGCCAGGGGAUAAAAGGCCCAUGCGUGGGACAUUGAAGGUACCUGGUGAAUAAGCCACGGCUAACUACGUGCCAGCAGCCGCGGUAAUACGUAGGUGGCGAGCGUUGUCCGGAUUUAUUGGGUUUAAAGGGUGCGUAGGCGUCCCUUCAAGUUUUAGGUGAAAUGCCCAAGCUCAACUUGGGAGCUGCCUGAAAAACUGCAGGGAUUGAGUACAGAUGAGGUAGGCGGAAUUGACGGUGUAGCGGUGAAAUGCAUAGAUAUCGUCAAGAACACCGAUAGCGAAGGCAGCUUACUAGGCUGUAACUGACGCUGAUGCACGAAAGUGUGGGGAUCAAACAGGAUUAGAUACCCUGGUAGUCCACACUGUAAACGUUGAUGACUCGCUGUUGGCGAUAUACAGUCAGCGGCCAAGCGAAAGCGAUAAGUC
rnacentral:rRNA from 1 species